GGCCUUUUGAUUAUAAUCUAAGGUCUAACCUGCCCACUGAGUAGUUAAAUGGCCGCGGUACACUGACCGUGCAAAGGUAGCAUAAUCAUUAGUUUCUUAAUUUGAAGCUGGAAUGAAUGGUUGAACAAGAAAAUGGCUGUCUCUAUUUAAAAUUUAAAAUUUUAUUUUUAAGUAAAAAAGCUUAAAUGUAGUUAAAAGACGAGAAGACCCUAUAGAGUUUUAUAUUUUUUUAUAUUUGAAUUUUUAGUAUUAUUACCUUAUUUAUAAAAAUUUAUUUGGUUGGGGAGAUUGAAAAAUUUAAUUAACUUUUUUUAUAUCGAUACAUAUAUUUAUGAGAAAUUGAUCCAUUUUUAUGAUUAUAAGAUUAAAUUACCUUAGGGAUAACAGCGUAAUCUUUUUUGAGAGUUCUAAUCGAAAGAAGGGUUUGCGACCUCGAUGUUGGAUUAAAAUUAAUUUUUGGUGUAGAAGCUGGGAAUUUUAGGUCUGUUCGACCUUUAAAAUUU
rnacentral:rRNA from 1 species